rnacentral:rRNA from 1 species
UACGUAGGGUGCAAGCGUUAAUCGGAAUUACUGGGCGUAAAGCGUGCGCAGGCGGUUUUGUAAGUCUGUCGUGAAAUCCCCGGGCUUAACCUGGGAAUGGCGAUGGAGACUGCAAGGCUAGAGUUUGGCAGAGGGGGGUAGAAUUCCACGUGUAGCAGUGAAAUGCGUAGAGAUGUGGAGGAAUACCGAUGGCGAAGGCAGCCCCCUGGGCCAACACUGACGCUCAUGCACGAAAGCGUGGGGAGCAAACAGG